rnacentral:pre_miRNA from 15 species
CGGAGUGAAAGAUGCGAGGCUCUGACUCUCCGUGUUCACAGCGGACCUUGAUUUAAUGUCAUACAAUUAAGGCACGCGGUGAAUGCCAAGAGCGGAGCCUGAAGCCAGCAUUGAAGAU